rnacentral:rRNA from 1 species
UACGGAGGGUGCAAGCGUUAAUCGGAAUUACAGGGCGUAAAGCGUGCGCAGGCGGUUUGUUAAGUCUGCUGUGAAAUCACCGAGCUCAACUUGGGAAUUGCAGUGGAUACUGGCAAGCUGGAGUACGGUAGAGGAAGGUGGAAUUCCCGGUGUAGCAGUGAAAUGCGUAGAGAUCGGGAGGAACACCAGUGGCGAAGGCGGCCUUCUGGACCAGUACUGACGCUCAUGCACGAAAGCGUGGGGAGCAAACAGG